CCGCCCGUCACAUCACGAAAGCCAUUUGUACUAGAAGUCGGUGAUUCAACCCGCAAGGGAGAUAGCCGCCUAUGGUAUGACUGGUGACUGGGGUG
rnacentral:rRNA from 1 species